UUGAACCAAGAGAGGGUAAAAUUGGUAAAUUCCCAUAUGGAAAGUUUCUUUCUAACUUUCUUUAUUUCACUCUUUUCUCCUCAGUGAAAACUAAAAGAAAAAAAUAGAAGAGAGAGAGAGGGAGGCUUGCAUGCUCAAAGUUUGAAGCUUUUCGUCAUCAAUCAUCCUCAUGACCUCUGAUUUUGAAAUUCCAUGCUCUUUUAAGAGUUGGUAUCAGAGCAGGUCAAUCCUCUACCCAAUUGUGAAACAUCAAUAGUUAAAUCUUUUAUCGCACAUGUAUGUGUUGGUGUUAUGAGAGAUUAUGUCAUAUUACCUAGUGUUAGUCCUGAUCAACUUGAUACUUAUAUGCAUGAUAGUAGAUUUCAUGGUUGUGCAACCGAGAAGAAGGGGAAGGCCAGGAGAAGCUCAUGUCUAAAAGGCUCAUGAGAACAAAGGGAUGGAAAUUGAUGAUGACCAUUGGGAGAAUCUGAUGCAACAACAACAACAUCAACUGCCAAUGCAAAAGCACCAACAAUUUGUGAUGCAUAUGAUGCAAUAAAUGCAGGGUAUAUAGUAGUCUCCUCAACAAAAUGCAAGCAGUAGAGGUUUUUGUGAGUUUUACCGAAUGAACCCUCCAGAGUUUCAAGGAGACAUAUAUCCUUUCAAAUCUCGUGAUUGGCUUAUAACUAUUGAAAUGAUCUUUGAAAUGACCCAAUGUAAUAAGGAAGACAAAGUGAUUUGUGUUAUUCAGAUGUUUAGAGGACCGAAAACUAGUUGAUGGACGCGUGCUUCUUCUAGACUAACUACCUUAGGCAUUUCUAGGGAUUAGGAACACUUUAAGGCAAUUGUGUUAGAGAAGUUUUCUCCAGAUAACAUAAAAGUCCAAAAAGAGUUAGAAUUUCAGCUACUUCAACAAGGUUCCAUGACCAUAGCCGAGUUUGUAGAAAAGUUUGUGGACAUGACAACCUAUUCAAAUUAAUCCAUUAAUGCUCCAAAAUAAUGUUGGAAUAUUAAACAGUUCAAGAUUAGACUUCGAGGAGAGACAAAGCACAUUGUAAGCCAACAACAUUAUAACACUUAUGCAAAGGUACUUGAGCAUUGUUACAUUGAUGAACAUAGUCUCAAGAAGAUCUAGAAAUAAAGGGACCAAGUCAGGAAAAGUAGGGGUGUCCAAGGGAGGACUAAUCAAUAUCUGAAGCCAAGAGAGUCGUUAUCCAAAGGAAAAAAUGUUUAGGGUAUGAGACCAGUACAUCUACCUCAGUGUCAGAAGUGCAAAAAGUAUCAUCUUGGAGAUUUCCAAUUUGGAUCUAUGAAAUGCUAUACUUGUCAGGAGUCAGGUCACUUAGCCAGAGAUUGUUCUAAUAAGAAGUCCAUCCAGGAAGUAGGUACAACAUGUAGAGUCUAUACCCUAGAUGCAAAAAAGGUGAAAGGAAAUAGUUAUUUGAUAGUUGGUAUGAGUUAUAUGCAGGAACAUCUAUUGUUUAUUCUCUUUGAUUAUGAAGCUACACAUGUCUUUAUUUUCACCCGAUGUAUUGAAAGACUUAGGUUAGAAGUACUACCUUUACUAUCUCCCAUGAAUAUAACCAUAACUAAUGAUGACAACGUAUAGACUA